rnacentral:lncRNA from 1 species
AUGAAGACAAAGGGGGACCUGCCAACUAUACAUCUGAUAUAUCACUCAGUAAAUUACUUCAAAAAUUAAAAACCAAAACAAGAUAUUUGCAAAUUAAUAGUCAACUGAAAUUUAUCAACAUAAAAAAAAAAAGGAAAGAUUUUAAAAGGUUAACACACAAAAAAUAUUCAACAACCUUAGUCAUCAGGGAAAUACAGAUUAAAACUACUUUGAGAUUCUACUUCAACCCAUUUCAAAUGACUGUCAUUAAGUGAGGAUAUGUGCAAAGAGGAGGACCCCUUGUACACUUCUUGUGGAAAUGUAAACUGGUACAGCCAUGAUGGAAAUCAGUAUGGUAGUUCCUCAAAAGGAACUAGCUAUGUCUUCGUUUGGGUUUAAUUGCUAUAACACCAUGACCAUAGCAAGUCUUAUAAAGAAAAACAUUUAAUUGGAGCUGGCUUAAAGUUUCAGAGGUUUAGUCUAUUAUCUUCAUGGCAGGGAACAGUGGUCUGCAGGCAGACCUGGUGUUGGAAAAGAAGCUAAGAGUUCUAUGUCUUGAUCCACAGGCAGCAGAAAGAGACUGUGCCACACUGGGCAUAGCUUGAACAUAGGAAAUCUCAAAGCCUGCCUCCAGAGUGACAUACUUCCUCCAACAGGGCCACACCUCCUAAUAAGUGCCAUUUGUUAUGGGCCAAGCAUUCAAACACAUGAGUCUGUGGGGGCUGUACGUUUUCAAAUCACUACAACAUAUAAUCUGGCUGUGCCUGUUUUGGGUGUAUAAUCAAAAGAUUUAAUCUGGCAUACCACAGAGAUACUUGUCCAGCCAUGAUUAUAAUGAUUCACAAUUUUAAGAUAUGAAGUCAGUUACUUGUUCAGCAAACAGACACUAAUGGUAAAGAAAAUGCAACAUAUACAUCAUGAAAUUUUAUAUGAUUGAAAAGAAUGGAAUUGUGACACUUGCAGUCAGAUGGAUGAAACUGCCAUACUAAGUGAAAUAAGUGGGUCUGAAACCAGUACCACAGGUUUUAUCUCAUGUAGCCUAUAGAUAUAAAUUUUUAUAUGUGUAAAUAUAUAUGUACAACAUGAAAGUAGAAACUGAAUUGUGAGAAUGAAGUUCAAAAUUGGGAGUAUCAAGAGAGGGUUAUGUAUGUGUCAUGAAAGCAAUAACGGGAACUAGUUCAGUGGAAGGAAAGCAGCAAGAACAGUAAGCAUGCAAACAAAAACAAGGAUACACCAGGCAUGGGGGAUGGCCUUUAAUCCUAGCACUUGGGUGACACAGAAAAGUAGGUCUCAGAGUUCAAGGUCAGCCUGGUCUACACAGGGGUUUUCAAGUCAACCAGGGCUACAUUGUGAGGCCCUGUCUCAGACAAAUAAACAAAGAUAUCUAUGUAUUGAUAAUGUCACAACCAUUUUCUUUUUAAUGGAAAGCAAAAAAGUUGAUUAGGAGAAAGAAAAAAACAUAAAAAUUAUUAUUUAUGUUAAUACAUAAUGUGCUUAUUUUUUCAACUUUAAUUUCUAAAUAGCAGUAGGUAUAACUCAUAAAAACAGAAGUCUUUUCAGGUCAUGGUUGAUUUUCAAUAAUGUAAAACAUUCCUGGAAGUGAAAAACAACAUUUUAGAACUGCUGCUUUCAAUUUACCUUGCAAGUGAGUCAUAGACAGCCAGCCAUCUUACGCUUAUUGAAUUGCGUUGUUUUUGAUACUGAUAAUAUCUACAUUGUUAGUUAAAUUUAGGACAGGCUAUAUCUUAUUUUCAUUAUUUCUUGGAGGAUCAUAAUUCUCUACCUGGAAUAGAUACCCAGUGAAGUCUUAGCAAGCGGUUGGAGGACUUCCCAUUUACCAACCAUACUAGGGAAGCACUUACUUCAUUGGCUAUAGUAUAAAUAGUGAAAUUUCUUCAUUCAGGUGGAAGAGCACAAUGGCCACAUCUUUAAGGCCACCCAGUAUAGCAUCCCUACAUACUGUGAAUACUGUUCUUCCUUGAUAUGGAUAAUGGACAGAGCCUCUGUUUGCAAAUUGUGUAAGUACGCUUGCCAUAAGAAGUGCUGCCUAAAAACCACAGCCAAGUGUUCUAAGAAGGUAAGGCAUUACUUACUGCCCCUUAGUACCUUAAUAGUACACAGCAUGUCUGCAAAUUUUUUUCCAUACGGAAAGUAGUUGGGGCUUCUUUAGUAGCUUUAUAAUACAGUGUUUUUCAAACUUCAUGACCUCAAAUAACAUUGAGAAGUAUGUUUUAUGUCACAAUCCAAUAUACAUGUAUGGAGAUGUAUGGAUAUAACUGAAUUAAUUUUCUUGAAACCUUUAAUCUUGACUUUAUGUAAGCUGCUAAGUUGAUGAGUUAAGCAUUCAUAAAUUCUUCUGAGGAAUUUUCUUUGAUGUUCACUAUUAACAUUUAACCAUGAGCAACAGCGUAUACUAAAAAAGCUGGUAUUUUCAAAUACCUAGUUGUAUUUGUGUACGUAAGUCUAAAAAGUACUAAAUAUAUAUCUUCAAGGAAACAACCUUUUUGAUGGUUUUGAUUUUGGUUUUUUUGAGACAGGGUCUUUCUAUUAUGUAUCACUGGCUGUCUUAGAACUUACAAUGUAGACCAGACCUGCUUUGAACUCACAGGAUCCAUCUGCCUCUGCCUCUGGCAUGCCAGGAUUAAAAGCAUGAGCCACCAUGCCAGACUAUUUUUAAAAAGUUGUUAGUGACUGAUAAUGGGAAGGCCCAGCUUACCUUGGGCGUGGCUAACCCUGGGCAGAUAGUCUCCUGAGUUUUGUAAGAAAGCAGGCUGAAGAAGCCAUGAGAGAAACAAGCCAGUAAGCAGUGUUCCUCCAUUACUUCUGCCUCAGAUCCUGCCUGGAGUUCUUGCCAUAACUUCCUUGAUGGUGGACUGUGAUGUGGAAGUUUAGACAAAAUAAACCCUUCCCCACUAGUUUCUUUGGUCAUGGUGUUUUAUCACAGCAAUAGAAACCUAAAAAAGAAAACCACCACCAAACAGUAUUCUGUGUACAGAUCUUACAUACCAAAGUCAGAGACGAUGAUUGAAGUUUCAGCAAUCUCUUAGAACUAUAGAUGGUGGGAAAGAUUUCCCUACUGUCAAGAUUUGAACCACUGUGGUUUGUUUGUUCAUUAGAGGAAUAAGCCUAAAUUUAGAAAUAUUUCAUUUCAUUUCAGGACUUUUUUUUUUUUAACUUCCAAGCUAUUUAACAUAGAUGGCUAAGAAGCUAAUUAGAAUAGGAUUUUCCAGAGUCUCCAUGC